GAUGAACGCUGGCUACAGGCUUAACACAUGCAAGUCGAGGGGAAACGACGGGGAAGCUUGCUUCCCCGGGCGUCGACCGGCGCACGGGUGAGUAACGCGUAUCCAACCUGCCUCUGACUGAGGGAUAACCCGUCGAAAGUCGGCCUAAUACCUCAUGGUAUCGUCUGCGGGCAUCCAACGACGAUUAAAGAUUUCAUCGGUCAGGGACGGGGAUGCGUCUGAUUAGCUUGUUGGCGGGGUAACGGCCCACCAAGGCUACGAUCAGUAGGGGUUCUGAGAGGAAGGUCCCCCACAUUGGAACUGAGACACGGUCCAAACUCCUACGGGAGGCAGCAGUGAGGAAUAUUGGUCAAGGGGCGAGAGCCUGAACCAGCCAAGUAGCGUGCAGGAAGACGGCCGUAUGGGUUGUAAACUGCUUGUAUGCGGGGAUAAAGUGAGGGACGUGUCCCUCAUUGCAGGUACCGCAUGAAUAAGGACCGGCUAAUUCCGUG
rnacentral:rRNA from 1 species